UGCUGGAUAGCCCAGUGGUAGAGCACUUGCUUUGCAUGCACGAGGUCCUGGGUUCAAUCCCCAGUCCCUCCA
rnacentral:tRNA from 1 species